GACGAACGCUGGCGGCGUGCCUAAUACAUGCAGGUAGAACGCACAGUUUAUACCGUAGCUUGCUACACCAUAGACUGUGAGUUGCGAACGGGUGAGUAACGCGUAGGUAACCUGCCUGGUAGCGGGGGAUAACUAUUGGAAACGAUAGCUAAUACCGCACAAUAUUAAUUAUUGCAUGAUAAUUGAUUGAAAGAUGCAACUGCAUCACUACCAGAUGGACCUGCGUUGUAUUAGCUAGUAGGUGAGGUAACGGCUCACCUAGGCGACGAUACAUAGCCGACCUGAGAGGGUGAUCGGCCACACUGGGACUGAGACACGGCCCAGACUCCUACGGGAGGCAGCAGUAGGGAAUCUUCGGCAAUGGACGAAAGUCUGACCGAGCAACGCCGCGUGAGUGAAGAAGGUUUUCGGAUCGUAAAGCUCUGUUGUAAGAGAAGAACGGGUGUGAGAGUGGAAAGUUCACACUGUGACGGUAUCUUACCAGAAAGGGACGGCUAACUACGUG
rnacentral:rRNA from 1 species